UCUAUCUGAAAAAAUGCCCUCAAAAUAACACUAAAACAGUGGUGAUCAAAUGAAAGCACCCAAUUAUCUUUGUAAAAAGUCAUUAUCAAUACAAAAGUAAUCCAACAGAGAAGCAGAUAAUCCAAAGUUAGUUGCAAAAAUCAAAAAAUACUGUAAUGGAAAAAUUGUCCUGCAAUGAAUGGAUCUACAUCAAUUCUAACAACAAGGCUUGACAGAUAUGGCGUCUUUCUGUCAAAUUCCAAUCAAACUCCAACAAAAUAACAUUAUUUUAAAUAUAACAGCUUUGUACAAAACAUAAAGCAAGCAUAAAUUAGCAAAUAGACACAAAAAAUUAAAUAAACGGUAUAAUUGAAGACAAUCAAGAAAACAAUGGCAUUGCUUCAAAGGCUUUGCCGAAGCAACACCGGAUACUUGAAAUCCGGCCAGAUCUGACAGCCAUGGUACGGCAGUGGAGAGGGGAAAAGGGAUAACUGUGGUUUCAAGGUUGUUUUAGCGAUGGUAAUGGCUGGACAUCGAUGUUGUUGUUAUGAUGGUUCGGUGGUCACCGGAGCACGUUCACCGAAGCUCCGGCAAUGAUGGCUGACGCAAAAAAGCAGUGGAGGUGGGGAAAUUUUUUGGCCAGAUUUGGCCCGUGUUCCUGGCUAGCAAUGGCGGCAAAGGGAUAAAGAGGGAGAAUGAGAGAGAGUGUGAGGGAGAGUGGUGGUGGCCGGAGCUCCGGCGAAUGAGCUCCGAUAGUGAAGAUGGUUGUUGGCGUCUGUUUUCAGAAAGAGAAAGAGAGAGAGAGUAGAGAGAGAGAGGAGCACACGUGUGUUUGUGUGUGUGUGGUGUAUUUAAAAAAGAAAAAUAAAUAAUUUAUCAAAUAUAUUUUUUUCUUCCAACAUAUCCCUUAAAUUAGGGAAAGUUGAUGUUGGAAAGUCAAAAAAGUGGAUGAAAAUAGGAAAAUAAAAUUAAAUUAAUAUUAUUUGUGUUAAUGUGACAAGAUACCGAAUUAUUAUUGUACUGUGUAUUGAAAUAAUUGAUUCGACUCAACUUUUGCAAGUCAUAUUAAAGAACAUAUAAAAUAAUGAAUGCCGAUAUAUAAAUGCUAUAAAAAAAUUAAAAUUACACUGUGCAGUGCAAAAUUUCAG
rnacentral:lncRNA from 1 species